GGGGAUUUAGCUCAGUGGUUAAGUACCUGCCUUGCAAGCAGGCGGUUGUGAGUUCGAUCCCCAGUACCUA
rnacentral:tRNA from 1 species